GGACAUUGCGCAAUGGUAAAACAUCUGCUUCGUGUGCAGAAAUUCUCAGGUUCAAUCCCUGAUAUCUCCA
rnacentral:tRNA from 1 species